AGGACUUCCAACGCACGAGAAAACGCGAGAGAGAGAGAGAGAGAGACCUAAUCCCUUUCUUCUCUCGGUGUUACUGCGAUCGCUUCGUUCACGAGGCUUCCCGCGGUCGGCCCUCUGGGAGAUUCAAGCUCCAGGUGAAGGUUUAACAGCAUACUAAGCAAUUGAUUUGGGCACCUCUUCCGGUGCAAACCAUCACCACCAAGCCCCACCGGCAAUGCUUCCUCCCACGCCAGCCUCCGAGGUCGGUCCCUCGCUUCGUCCGACCAUGCAGACUCACCCGCAUCCCAAGAACCACGAUAAUAUUCUAAUGGCGAAUCUCCCCCACUGAGAAUGCCAGCUCGCAUGAGGCCUGGCCCAUCGAGACAAACCGCCCAGUUGCCGUCACGGGAAACAAAGUAGAGAAGGAAAAGCAAGGGGACAAUGAAACCACUGGACUGAGGAUGAAACAGAGGCUAAGAUGUUCCAGCUUCAGGCCAGCGAGGUCAAACAGGAGACUGUGAGGCUACAGGGAAUUGCACUUGCUAAAUCAGAGAAUGCUGAGCAGCACUAUGCCAGUAUGUAACCUGAAGCAUUGUCUUGAAGAAGCAGAAACUGAGAAGCAAUAUCUGCUUGAAAAGAUAGAGCUUCAGGAGAUCAGCAGUGGAAAAGUAAAAAUCCAGGAUUUAUUGAAGAAUGUGCAUAGCAUUCGAUCAAAGGCAGCAGGGUAAAAGUAAAAAUGAGCUGCUGCUGACUGCCCAUAGAGAUUCCUGGUUCUAUUUAAUGUAGUAAUUUACAGCCAAGGAUUAGUAGUCCACAACCAAGGAGUGUUGAUAUUAUCAUCUGGAUGUUGCUUGAUGUAGUUCCAGUUGGUCUUUUGAACCAAUCUUCAUCUUUAUAUGAUUUGAUGCUUAUAAUUAAUUGUCUUUA